ACUUGUUUGCGCAUCGUACCAUGCUUAUGUGAUGAUUGUUUACUAUGUUGUUUGCUUUCUUUUCGGUGUACUUCUUCUCGGUAAUCUGGUAACGUUGCGUUUGUGAGGAAACGUUGGCUACGUCCGUUUGUCUUCUUCAUGGACUCGUUCUUCUUCCUUGCGGGAUCUCAGGCAAGAUGACCAUACCCUCUAAAUCACUUCUAUCUUUGCUUGCUAGAUGCUCGCUCUUUUGCUAUGCCUAUGCUACGAUGCCUACCACUUGCUUAUCAUGCCUCCUAUAUUGCCAUGUCAAGCCUCUAACCCACCUUGUCCUAGCAAACCGUUGUUUGGCUAUGUUACCACUUUGCUCAGCCCCUCUUAUAGCGUUGUUAGUUGCAGGUGAAGAUUGGAGUUUGUUCCUUGUGGGAACAUGGAUAUUUGUUGGGAUAUCACAAUAUCUCUUAUUUUAUUAAUGCAUCUAUACACUUGGUAAAGGGUGGAAGGCUCGGCCUUAUGCCUGGUGUUUUGUUCCACUCUUGCCGCCCUAGUUUCCGUCAUACCGGUGUUAUGUUCCUUGAUUUUGUGUUCCUUACACGGUUGGAUUAUAAUGGGAAUCCCUUGACAGUUUGCUUUGAAUAAAAUUCCUCCAGCAAGGCCCAACCUUGGUUUUACCAUUCGCCACCUAGCCUUUUUCCCUUAGGAGUCGCGCAUCCCGAGGGUCAUCUUUAUUUUAACCCCCCGGGCCAGUGCUUGUCUAAGUGUUGGUCCGAACUAGAGUCCUUUGCAGCACCACCUCGGGGAAACUUGAGGGCUGGUUUUAGUUGUACGGAGCGCUCAUCCGAUGUUGCCCUGAGAACGAGAUAUGUGCAGCUCCUAUCAGGAUGUCGGCGCAUCGGGCGGUCUUGCUGGACUUGUUUUACCAUUGUCGAGGAUGUCUUGUAACCGGGAUGCCGAGUCUGAUCGGAUUGUCUUGGGAGAAGGAAUAUCCUUCGUUGACCGUGAGAGCUUGUGAUGGGCUAAGUUGGGACACCCCUGUAGGGAUAUGAUCUUUCGAAAGCCGUGCCCACGGUUAUGGGAAGAUGGGAAUUUGUUAAUGUACGAUUGUAGAGAACUUGACACUUAACUUAAUUAAAAUGCACCAACCGCGUGUGUAACCGUGACGGUCUCUUUCCGACGGAGUUCGGGAAGUGAACACGGUGUUGGAGUUAUGUUUGACGUAGGUUGUUCUAGGAUCACUUCUUGAUCAUAGUUUCUCGACCAUGCUUUGCCUUCUCUUCUCGCUCUCAUUUGCGUAUGUUAGCCACCAUAUAUGCUAGUGCUUGCUGCAGCUCCACCUCACAUACCUUUUACCCUUCCUAUAAGCUUAAAUGUCUUGAUCGCGAGGGUGUGAGAUUGCUGAGUCCCCGUGACUCACAGAUACUUCCAAACUAGUUUGCAGGUGCCGAUGAUACCGUGCAGGUGACGCAACCGAGCUCAAGGAGGAGCCAGUUGAAGAUUGUGUUCGUUAUGUUGUUCUGUUUCUAGUUGAUCAGUAGUGGAGCCCAGUCGGGACGAUCGGGGAUCUGUGUAGCUUUUGGGGUAGUCUUCUUUUAUUUUGGUUCCGUAGUCAAACCUUGAGUGUAUUUGGAUGAAUGUAAUGCUUUAUUCAUGUAUCAUGUGAAGUGGAGAUUGUAAGCCAACUAUGUAUCUCUUUCCCUUAUGUAUUAUAUGGGUUCUGUGAAGAUUAACUCACUUGAGACAUUGCUUUCAAUGCGG
rnacentral:lncRNA from 1 species